rnacentral:rRNA from 1 species
CCUACGGGGGGCUGCAGUGGGGAAUAUUGCACAAUGGGCGCAAGCCUGAUGCAGCCAUGCCGCGUGUGUGAAGAAGGCCUUCGGGUUGUAAAGCACUUUCAGCGGGGAGGAAGGCGUUAAGGUUAAUAACCUUGGCGAUUGACGUUACCCGCAGAAGAAGCACCGGCUAACUCCGUGCCAGCAGCCGCGGUAAUACGGAGGGUGCAAGCGUUAAUCGGAAUUACUGGGCGUAAAGCGCACGCAGGCGGUCUGUCAAGUCGGAUGUGAAAUCCCCGGGCUCAACCUGGGAACUGCAUUCGAAACUGGCAGGCUAGAGUCUUGUAGAGGGGGGUAGAAUUCCAGGUGUGGCGGUGAAAUGCGUAGAGAUCUGGAGGAAUACCGGUGGCGAAGGCGGCCCCCUGGACAAAGACUGACGCUCAGGUGCGAAAGCGUGGGGAGCAAACAGGAUUAGAUACCCCAGUAGUC